rnacentral:rRNA from 1 species
GUCUACGGCCAUACCACCCUGAAUGUGCCCAGUCUUGUCUGAUCUUGGAAGCUAAGCAGAGUCGGACCUGGUUUUUACUUGGAUGGGAGAAAUGUAGCCU